CCUACGGGAGGCAGCAGUGGGGAAUAUUGGGCAAUGGGCGCAAGCCUGACCCAGCAACGCCGCGUGAAGGAAGAAGGCUUUCGGGUUGUACACUUCUUUUGUCAGGGAAGAGGAGAAGACGGUACCUGACGAAUAAGCCACGGCUAACUACGGGCCAGCAGCCGCGGUAAUACGGAGGUGGCAAGCGUUGUCCGGAUUUACUGGGUGGACAGGGCGUGUAGCCGGGGUGAAAAGUCAGAUGUGAAAUCCUGCGGCUUAACCGCAGUACUGCAUUUUAAACUGUUGAUCUUGAGUACUGGAGAGGCAUCCGGAAUUCCUAGUGUAGCGGUGAAAUGCGUAGAUAUUAGGCGGAACACCAGUGGCGACGGCGGUCUGCUGGACCGCAACUGACGGUGCGGCGCGACAGCGUGGGGAGCAAACAGGAUUAGAUACCCCUGUAGUC
rnacentral:rRNA from 1 species